GGGGUUGUGGCUUGGUGGUAGAGCACUCACCUAGCAUGUGUGAGGCACUGGGUUCAAUUCUCAGCACCACA
rnacentral:tRNA from 1 species